UGAUCUAUGAUGACUCCCCCAAAAUGCAUUCCUUGGAAAAACUGAACAAAAUGAAUGAGAACUCCAAUCAUGAUUCUCACAGGAUCUGAGGUAA